rnacentral:tmRNA from 1 species
GGGGCCGAUGUGGUUUCGACCGAACGAGUUCAGGUUCGGUGUGGCGCGUCGAGGGGCGUGGUGGCCUCGUAAAAACCACGCACACACAAUAACUGCCAACGAGCAGUACGCACUGGCCGCCUAACUUAGGUGGUCUGAGCCCCACCCAACGCCUGCUAGGGCGGGGCUCAAUGACAGCAGGCUGGCCGACUCCCGGCGCUCCCGGGGGUGAAGCGGCGAGAAUUUGACCGGGAGCUGGACCCAACGCAGGCUGUCGAUGGUCGGCUGCGGGUUGAGAUCAAACCAUCGACUACACGCGUAGAGGCGCCGUUCCGGCCGUUUCGGCACGGGGGUUCGAUUCCCCCCGGCUCCAUUC